GGGACACGUGGUAUCCUGUCUGAAUAUGGGGGGACCAUCCUCCAAGGCUAAAUACUCCUGACUGACCGAUAGUGAACCAGUACCGUGAGGGAAAGGCGAAAAGAACCCCGGCGAGGGGAGUGAAAAAGAACCUGAAACCGUGUACGUACAAGCAGUGGGAGCACGCUUAGGCGUGUGACUGCGUACCUUUUGUAUAAUGGGUCAGCGACUUAUAUUCUGUAGCAAGGUUAACCGAAUAGGGGAGCCGAAGGGAAACCGAGUCUUAACUGGGCGUUAAGUUGCAGGGUAUAGACCCGAAACCCGGUGAUCUAGCCAUGGGCAGGUUGAAGGUUGGGUAACACUAACUGGAGGACCGAACCGACUAAUGUUGAAAAAUUAGCGGAUGACUUGUGGCUGGGGGUGAAAGGCCAAUCAAACCGGGAGAUAGCUGGUUCUCCCCGAAAGCUAUUUAGGUAGCGCCUCGUGAAUUCAUCUCCGGGGGUAGAGCACUGUUUCGGCAAGGGGGUCAUCCCGACUUACCAACCCGAUGCAAACUGCGAAUACCGGAGAAUGUUAUCACGGGAGACACACGGCGGGUGCUAACGUCCGUCGUGAAGAGGGAAACAACCCAGACCGCCAGCUAAGGUCCCAAAGUCAUGGUUAAGUGGGAAACGAUGUGGGAAGGCCCAGACAGCCAGGAUGUUGGCUUAGAAGCAGCCAUCAUUUAAAGAAAGCGUAAUAGCUCACUGGUCGAGUCGGC
rnacentral:rRNA from 1 species